CAGCAGCCGCGGUAAUACGUAGGGUGCGAGCGUUAAUCGGAAUUACUGGGCGUAAAGCGUGCGCAGGCGGUUCGUUAAGACAGAUGUGAAAUCCCCGGGCUUAACCUGGGAACUGCAUUUGUGACUGGCGAGCUAGAGUAUGGCAGAGGGGGGUAGAAUUCCACGUGUAGCAGUGAAAUGCGUAGAGAUGUGGGGGAAUACCGAUGGCGAAGGCAGCCCCCUGGGCCAAUACUGACGCUCAUGCACGAAAGCGUGGGGAGCAAACAGGAUUAGAUACCCCAGUAGUCCCUGUCUCUUAUAC
rnacentral:rRNA from 1 species